rnacentral:misc_RNA from 1 species
GAGGGACGCCUGCAACAAGUGCAAGGAGGACAAGGAAAGCGCCCAGGAUCCGAGUCUCAGGAUUGGAGACGCAAAGGGCGAGGAUUCAGAAUGAUCCUUAGAAUUUCUUUAUUCUUGGAAACAUAAUGACGGACAUAAAUCCAGACAGUCUUAAGGUUGUGGAGCUACGAGACGCAUUGUCAGAGAGAGGAUUAGACACAAAAGGAAACAAACCUGCUCUUGUCUCCAGACUUAAGGAAUACCUGUCCAGAGAUAAUCCUGGAGCUCAAGAACCAUCAGAGUAUGAUCCAACCAACCCAACCGAAGAUACGGAGCCAGCAACGGAGUUCGGGGACAAGAACUUUGUAAAUGUAACUCCGCGGGGGAUAAAGUUUAGUUUGUCAGCUCCUAAACCUACCAAACCGGUUCCUGCUUCACCUAGACCACCAUCUCCAGGUCCCCAGCUAGAUAGUGUAGGAGAAGGAGCAGGAGGAGGCGGAAUAAGACGAUCAGGAGCUGCUGCGUUCUUUCUAACAGAGGUUGAAAGAAUCAAGAAUAAAGAGGCCAAGGUACCCCUACCUCCAAGUUUUGGCUACCAGAUCGAGGACGAUGAUGAGGAUGAAGAAGAGGGACCUCCGGGGAUGGUUCCUCUUAAACUUCCAGCUCUCAAGUUCGAUAAACCCUUCACUAAGGACCUUGGACCAAAAGAUGUUGAAUAUUGGAAGAAGAUUGAAAUGCCGGAUUUGUACACUCAACGCAGAUCCACCGAGUUCUGGAAGGAAGGAGUUUUCCUCCAAGAUCCUGCACUUUUUCUACAAGAAGAAGCUGAUCGUUCUAGUAGUCAGCUCAUUGUAGAGUUAGAGCAUACUGAAGUACCAGGUUUGUCUUUGGACAGUAUUAAGAUGAAAGUAACCUACAACUAUUUAACGGCUAGAGGACUAGCUAAAUCUAGACUUGAAGCAAUGGAUCAAUGCGCUCUCAAGAUUCUUAAGGAGUCAGGCCCUUGGUUGGAUUCUGGAUUGAUUGAUAAAACAAAUGAAAAUAUUGCCAGCCUCCUCCCUGCCUCACUAUCCUCCUGGUGUCCUCCUAAAUAUAACCUCAAGCAUGUCAGAUUAGAGCAAAAAGAUGGAUUAAAGCAUGGUAAACGGCUGUAUGAGUUGACCGUCAAGCUGGGAGGAUUCAGUUGCUCAGCUAUAGGGGAUACUGUAGAGGAUAGUUUACAUUAUACCACACUUCAUCUUAAAUCAUUUAUCAGAAAUCGUGAGUUGACCCGCCUAGCUGCUCCUGAAACCAGUGGUCGGCUGACGUACGCGUCAGGUUUAGGUAUAGUUAAGGUAGUGCUGGAGAAGGGGAAGGAGCAAGUGCUGGCCCCCCUGGACCUGUUUAUCCUGCAGAAGGUGUUGAAGGGAGGCGGGUUUCCUCCGAUGUACUCCUCCAAAGAUGUGUGGGGGUGUGAGAAGGUGUUCUAUUGUGAUGUUUGCGGGCACAGGAUACUUGGAGCAGACUCCCUUAUUCAACAUGUUCAGGGAGAGCGGCAUAACAGUCGACUAGGGAAGUUUUUGUGGAACGGAACUGUGAUAGAGACCUUCAGAUCUAACGCUGACCCCGAGUAUGGCCGGGAUUUUGACUUAAAACCUGAAACUGAAGAGGAGAAGGAGAGGUUCGUGCUGCGUCUCUGCUCGUCAUGUGAGGAGGAAGGGAAGGUCCAACAAGCUCUAGCUAAAUGCAAGGACUGUAAUGACUAUAUGUGUGGGACCUGCAAGGAAGCGCACAGUAAAACGAGAUUAACAAAGAACCAUGAGAUAAUUGAUGUUAAGCCACCAGUCUUUAAUCAUCCACUUCAGGAUGAGGAUAAUGGGAGGAAGAUUAAAGACUCUGAAAAAUAUCUGAUCAGUGUUUACAGAUGUCCGACCAAAAUUCCGGAACACAACCAACAGGAGGACGAGUAUCAAGGUGACGAGUUUGAGGGUGAGGAGUAUACAGACGAAUCUGCCCUUGGCGCGGACUGUUUUGGAGAAGGGUUUCCCGGAUUUGAAGGUAUGGACGGAGGACCUCCAUAUGGGAUGCGGGGACCUGGAGGCCCGGGGGGAUUCAGGCCUCGCGGAGGCUUUAUGGGAGAUAGAGGAGGUUACGGAGGUGACAGAGGAGGAUUCGGAGGUCCACCAAGAGGAGGCUUCGGAGGACGAUUUCAGGGCCCUCCAGGUGGAGGACAAAGAGGAGGGUUUGGAGGUGAUCGUGGAGGAUUUGGGCCUCCUAGAGGGGGCUUUGGUGGACCACGUGGUGGUUUCGGAGGACCAAGAUUUGGAGGCCCUGGUCCGAUGGGAUUCAAUGGACCUCCAGGAGAAGAAGAAGGAUAUGAAGAUGGUCCUCCUGGAGAGUGUGACGGAGGUCCACCUGGGGAAGGUUAUGGAGGCAGAGGAGGUUUUGGAGGCCGUGGAGGGUAUGGAGGAAGAGGCGGUAUGGGAGGACCAAUGGGACCUGGCGGACCAAUGGGACCGGGAGGGCCUGGUGGACCAAUGAGACCGGGUGGACCUAUGGGACACGGAGGGCCUGGCGGACCAAUGGGACACGGAGGUCCAGGUGGACCUAUGGGACCUGGAGGUCCUGGCGGACCAAUGGGACCAGGAGGGCCUGGUGGACAAAUGAGACCAGGAGGUCCUGGUGGACCAAUGGGACACGGAGGUCCUGGCGGGCCAAUGGGACAGGGUGGACCUAUGGGACAAGGGGGGCCUGGUGGUCCUAUGGGACAAAAUGGACAAGGAGGACCCGGAGGUAAUAUGGGACAAGGAGGUCCUGGUGGUCAAAUGGGACCAAGAGGGCCAAUGGGACAAGGAGGUCCGGGUGGUCAAAUGGGACCACGAGGGCCAAUGGGGCAAGGAGGUCCUGGUGGACAGAUGGGACCGGGGGGGCAAAUGGGACAAGGAGGGCCUGAGGGUCCAAUGGGACCCAGAGGGCCGAUGGGGCCAGGACAGAUGGGACCAAGAGGUCCAAUGGGAAUGGGUCCAGGUGGCCCAAUGGGUAUGGGACCUCGCGGCCCAAUGGGCCCACCCAGGUUUGGUGGUCCAAUGCCAAGGUUCCCUGGACCAAUAGGACCCAGUGGAGCUCCCUCCAACAUGGUUUGUAUUUCUCAGGGUACAUCAGGUAAACAGUGUGCUCACUUCUCCUCGGGGAACUGUACCUACGGUCCUAAAUGUAUCCACAUGCACAUGGUUCCUGCCGGGCCUAGACCUCAACCUACUGGUCCUAAGAACGUGAAGGAAGGGGAUUCUGACGAGGAGGAUGAAGGAGAAGGAGGAGGGGAGGAGGAAGAUGAAGAUGAUCCUCUAGCCUCCAUCAACGCUAAGCGUGAUGCGGCCAAGAGGAAAGCUUAUGCCGAGGCUCUAGAGGCUGCGAAGAUAACGGCGAAGAACGCUGAUGAUCUUGAUCUCGGUGGUCUCCGGGGCCCAGAUAAAGGUGGAAUAAAGGGUUUAACCAACCUGCCUGUCAUAGAAGGAGGUCUGCUUCAUGCCUACAGUGUAGGGCAGAAGGGGAAGAAGAAGGAUAAGCCCCCAGAGGAGCAGAGGCCUGGAGAUUGGUUGUGUGAAUGCCAAAACUAUAAUUUCUCCUGGAGAAAGAACUGUAACGCCUGCACCAAAAAGAAGCCGUUGAACGAACUGGAGGAGGCGGCUAAACAGGCUGAGCUCAAGAGAAUUAAAGAGGAAAGAGCUAAACGGUUGAAACAACAAGAAAGAGAUGCAGACCUUAAAAAGAUUGCGGAGCGUGAAGAAAGAAAAAAGGGUGCAGGAGGUGAUAAAGAUCGCGGUAGUAGGGACAGAGAUCGCGGGAGUAGAGAUCGUGGGAGUAGAGAUCGUGAUCGUGGUAGUGAUCGGGGUUACAGGGGAAGAGGGGGUGGUGAAGAUGACAAUCCGAAUAUGGUUCCCAUCGGAGGUAGCAGGGGAAGGAAUGAUCGCUCUUCCAAGGAUGAUCAUUAUUCAAGAAGUGAUCGUCGGGAUGAUAGAUCCUCAAGAGAUGAUCGAAGACGUGACGAUCAUAAAUCAUCAAGGGAUGAUCGCAUAAAGGACGAUCAUAGUGAUGACGACGACGGGUCUCAGUAUAAAAGAUACUAUGAUGACGAUGAUGGAAAUGAUCGAAAGUCGUCCAAGAAAUCGCACCGUGAUCGUGAUGACGACGAUGAUGAUCGAGAUCGAAAGCAUAAAAAGUCACAUAAGUCUCGUCGAUCCAGAAGUGAUGACGAUGAUGACCGAAGAUCGACCAAAAAGAAGAAAAAAGAUCGGUCAAGGUCAAGAUCCCGCUCCAGGUCCAGGCGCCGUGACCGAUCCCGGUCAAAGAAGCGGGAUCGCUCUGAAGAUCGAUCAAGGCGCAGCGAUCGAUCCAGAGAUGAGACAGAAGUGAAGAAAGAAUACGGUGGAGGGAGAAAGGAUUUGGAGGAGGGCGAGGUCCCUGAAGGAAACUGGAAGGAUUGGUAUUCCAAGGGGGCCCCUACAGGAGGUCCGCCUCCUCCACCAAUGUGUCCACCACCCCAGCGCCCCCCUCCACCCCCAGGUGGUGGUUGGGGACAUGAUAACCGAUACUAAGUUGUCCAGCAGCGAGUGAUCAGUGAUUUGAAAAGUUAAAAAUGAGUUCUUGAGGAAAUAAUUGUUCUCCGUUACCUUCCAUCUACUUGGGAAGAACAAUUUUGAUUAAAUCUUGAUAAUUACAGUUUUAAUAAUUGUUAUUUUAUGUUGUUGUUACGAAACUAUCAUUAUAUCCUUUUCUUGAGUAGGACUCAAUCAUCCUUAAAAAAUUGUAAAUUUGAUAUUUCUCUUUAGAAAAUUGUGGGCAUUUGAACGCCAUCUUCUGAAUUCAGAUGAGUUCAAUUAUUCUUCUUUUUUUUUCAGAA